rnacentral:rRNA from 1 species
UACGUAGGGUGCAAGCGUUAAUCGGAAUUACUGGGCGUAAAGGGCGCGUAGGCGGCGUGUCAAGUCAGGCGUGAAAGCCCCGGGCUCAACCUGGGAGGUGCGCUUGAUACUCGAGGGCUUGAGUGCGGGAGAGGAGAGUGGAAUUCCCAGUGUAGAGGUGAAAUUCGUAGAUAUUGGGAAGAACACCGGUGGCGAAGGCGGCUCUCUGGACCGUAACUGACGCUGAGGCGCGAAAGCGUGGGGAGCAAACAGG